UGGGGAAUUUUGGACAAUGGACGCAAGUCUGAUCCAGCCAUGCCGCGUGCGGGAAGAAGGCCUUCGGGUUGUAAACCGCUUUUGUCAGGGAAGAAACGAGUUUCUCUAAUACAGAGACUUAAUGACGGUACCUGAAGAAUAAGCACCGGCUAACUACGUGCCAGCAGCCGCGGUAAUACGUAGGGUGCAAGCGUUAAUCGGAAUUACUGGGCGUAAAGCGUGCGCAGGCGGUUAUGCAAGACAGAUGUGAAAUCCCCGGGCUCAACCUGGGAACUGCAUUUGUGAGUGCAUAGCUGGAGUGCGGCAGAGGGGGAUGGAAUUCCGCGUGUGGCGGUGAAAUGCGUAGAUAUGCGGGGGAACACCGAGGGGGAAGGCAAUCCCCUGGGCCUGUGCUGACGCUCAUGCACGAAAGCGUGGGGAGCAAAAA
rnacentral:rRNA from 1 species